rfam:Schistosoma mattheei strain Denwood, Zambia genome assembly, scaffold: SMTD_scaffold0015713
AUCCAUCUGAUGAGUCUUAAAUGGGACGAAACAUGCGUCCUGGAU